UGGUCUCUUCCUUUUUUUUUUGAGGAAAAUAAACCCCAAUUUUCGCACUUCGCCACCCGAAAACCCUAUCAGCCAUGCCGGAGGCCGACGCCAUUCCCCAACCUUACGCACUGCACCGCACCCUCAACGGUCACAAGCACGCCGUCUCGUCUGUCAAGUUCUCCCCCGACGGCACCCUCCUUGCGUCAGCCUCCGCCGACAAGAUUCUCCGCGUGUGGUCCACCUCCGACUUCUCCCUCCGCGCCGAGCUCUCCGGACACGAUGAGGGAAUCUCGGAUCUCUCCUUCUCCGCUGACGCUCGCCAACUUUGUUCCUCCUCCGACGACUUCACCGUCCGCAUCUGGGACCUGGAGACUGCCACCGCCGUCAAGACCCUCUCCGGCCAUACCGACUACGCCUUCUGCUGCUCCUUCAAUCCGCAGUCGGACUUGAUCGCAUCAGGCUCCUUCGACGAGACCGUCCGGGUGUGGGAGGUCAGGUCCGGCAAGUGCCUCCGAGUUCUCCCCGCCCACUCUGAUGCUGUGACUGCUGUCGACUUCAACCGCGACGGAGGCCUUAUUAUAUCGGGUAGCUAUGAUGGGAUGUGCCGGAUUUGGGACUCGGCCAAUGGGCAUUGCGUCACUACGCUUGUUGAGGAUAAGAGUCCGCCCGUUUCGUUUGCCAAAUUUUCCCCAAAUGGCAAAUUUGUGCUCGCCGCUACCCUUGAUAGUACACUGAAACUCUGGAACUUCUCCACGGGUAAGAUCUUGAAGACAUAUACUGGACACGUUAACUCAAACUACUGCAUUCCAUCUACAUUUUCAAUCACAAAUGGCAAGUACAUUGUCAGUGGUUCCGAAGACAAUAUCGUCUACCUGUGGGAUCUCCAAACAAGAAAAGUAGUGCAGAAACUCGAAGGUCAUACUGAUAUUGUUAUAGCCGUGACAUGCCACCCCUCUGAAAACAUGAUUGCUUCGGGUGCGCUCGAUAAGGAUAAGACAGUUAAGAUAUGGGUUCAGAACUAAAUUACCUGGUAACAACCUACUACUAAUAUGUGACUCAUCAAUCCAAUCCAGUAAUCUUCAUUGUUGAAGAGAGCUCAAACUGGAGAUGAUCUGUUCACCAAGAAGCAGCAGCCCCCUUCGAUAUCUCCGGCGAUCAUCCGAUCGCUUGAUCGCUUGCUUGCCGGUCUCUUCUUCCAUCUUUACUAGUUGCAGAAGCUUAGGAAUCCCAUGUAUUCAUGGUGCUUGAUCAUAGAAAUGGAUUUCUCUGUGCCAACAACUCCUGGAACAUUACAAGAACAAAGAACACAAUGAGUUAGUGAUUAUGAUCUAAAGUAACUGCAACUCUGUUGGUGGUAGAGAGAUCAUACCCAUGGUCAGAGCACUGGCGAAGAUGACCGAGGAGAAGAUGAAGACGAUUAUCGACGAACUGGCCCCAGAAUCCAGCCAAGACAGACGGCGAUGAGGUAGCAAGCUGCGUGGAACAGUAAGUAUGAAUGUUUCGAUGCGGGCAGGCAUUCGAGCAAUUACUGGUGUUCUUGCCGUAAGGGAUGGAGAAUCUCUUCAGGAAGUAAAACUCCGGCACCGAUAAGGACGACGAGAACACCAUCACCAAUGUUGCUGUGGCACUGACCACCUGGAAUUUAGAAAUAUUGUAAAAGAUUAGAUUUUGGAGGGAUUUUUGGGGAGUUUUUUGUUGAUUUAUUUUGAUAGAUCGGCACUUGUGAGAGCUUCAUCAAGCAGGGAGGAGGAACAGUAGCACUGACAAUUGUGGUUUUCUCCGGCCGAGGAAGAAUAGGCUCGUAUUUGGCGGCGACAUCAACAUCCCUGUUGAAGAAGAAAUUGCGUGAUCAUAAAUCGAUCUCUAUAAAUUGGAUAAAUGUUUCUUUUGGCGUAUUGCCAUGUUUUUGAUUCA